rnacentral:misc_RNA from 1 species
GUAUUUCAAUGCGAUUAUCGCAGGUAUACAUUCUUAUACUGAUGUUUGUUAUGAAUACAUAGAUAGACUAGCAGAGUCACCAUAGGUAACCCCACUGUAUGUCAAUCUAUGAGAAGUGCACAGAGGUGUGUGGAUGAAUUAACAAAGUGUGCACAUGCCGAAAAAGGCCAGCGACAACCUUGUUGCUAAAUUCAUUAAUGAUCCUUCCGCAGGUUCACCUACGGAAA